rnacentral:rRNA from 1 species
UACGGAGGGUGCAAGCGUUAUUCGGAAUUACUGGGCGUAAAGCGCACGCAGGCGGUCUGUCAAGUCGGAUGUGAAAUCCCCGGGCUCAACCUGGGAACUGCAUUCGAAACUGGCAGGCUAGAGUCUUGUAGAGGGGGGUAGAAUUCCAGGUGUAGCGGUGAAAUGCGUAGAGAUCUGGAGGAAUACCGGUGGCGAAGGCGGCCCCCUGGACAAAGACUGACGCUCAGGUGCGAAAGCGUGGGGAGCAAACAGGAUUAGAUACCCUGGUAGUCCACGCCGUAAACGAUGUCGAUUUGGAGGUGGUGGCCUUGAGGCGUGGCUUCCGGAGCUAACGCGUUAAAGCGACCGCCUGGGGAGUACGGCCGCAAGGUUAAA